AAAUUGAAGAGUUUGAUCAUGGCUCAGAUUGAACGCUGGCGGCAGGCCUAACACAUGCAAGUCGAACGGUAACAGGAAGAAGCUUGCUUCUUUGCUGACGAGUGGCGGACGGGUGAGUAAUGUCUGGGAAACUGCCUGAUGGAGGGGGAUAACUACUGGAAACGGUAGCUAAUACCGCAUAACGUCGCAAGACCAAAGAGGGGGACCUUCGGGCCUCUUGCCAUCGGAUGUGCCCAGAUGGGAUUAGCUAGUAGGUGGGGUAACGGCUCACCUAGGCGACGAUCCCUAGCUGGUCUGAGAGGAUGACCAGCCACACUGGAACUGAGACACGGUCCAGACUCCUACGGGAGGCAGCAGUGGGGAAUAUUGCACAAUGGGCGCAAGCCUGAUGCAGCCAUGCCGCGUGUAUGAAGAAGGCCUUCGGGUUGUAAAGUACUUUCAGCGGGGAGGAAGGGAGUAAAGUUAAUACCUUUGCUCAUUGACGUUACCCGCAGAAGAAGCACCGGCUAACUCCGUGCCAGCAGCCGCGGUAAUACGGAGGGUGCAAGCGUUAAUCGGAAUUACUGGGCGUAAAGCGCACGCAGGCGGUUUGUUAAGUUAGAUGUGAAAUCCCCGGGCUCAACCUGGGAACUGCAUCUGAUACUGGCAAGCUUGAGUCUCGUAGAGGGGGGUAGAAUUCCAGGUGUAGCGGUGAAAUGCGUAGAGAUCUGGAGGAAUACCGGUGGCGAAGGCGGCCCCCUGGACGAAGACUGACGCUCAGGUGCGAAAGCGUGGGGAGCAAACAGGAUUAGAUACCCUGGUAGUCCACGCCGUAAACGAUGUCGACUUGGAGGUUGUGCCCUUGAGGCGUGGCUUCCGGAGCUAACGCGUUAAGUCGACCGCCUGGGGAGUACGGCCGCAAGGUUAAAACUCAAAUGAAUUGACGGGGGCCCGCACAAGCGGUGGAGCAUGUGGUUUAAUUCGAUGCAACGCGAAGAACCUUACCUGGUCUUGACAUCCACGGAAGUUUUCAGAGAUGAGAAUGUGCCUUCGGGAACCGUGAGACAGGUGCUGCAUGGCUGUCGUCAGCUCGUGUUGUGAAAUGUUGGGUUAAGUCCCGCAACGAGCGCAACCCUUAUCCUUUGUUGCCAGCGGUCCGGCCGGGAACUCAAAGGAGACUGCCAGUGAUAAACUGGAGGAAGGUGGGGAUGACGUCAAGUCAUCAUGGCCCUUACGACCAGGGCUACACACGUGCUACAAUGGCGCAUACAAAGAGAAGCGACCUCGCGAGAGCAAGCGGACCUCAUAAAGUGCGUCGUAGUCCGGAUUGGAGUCUGCAACUCGACUCCAUGAAGUCGGAAUCGCUAGUAAUCGUGGAUCAGAAUGCCACGGUGAAUACGUUCCCGGGCCUUGUACACACCGCCCGUCACACCAUGGGAGUGGGUUGCAAAAGAAGUAGGUAGCUUAACCUUCGGGAGGGCGCUUACCACUUUGUGAUUCAUGACUGGGGUGAAGUCGUAACAAGGUAACCGUAGGGGAACCUGCGGUUGGAUCACCUCCUUACCUUAAAGAAGC
rnacentral:rRNA from 1 species